UGGGGAAUUUUGGACAAUGGGCGAAAGCCUGAUCCAGCCAUGCCGCGUGAGUGAAGAAGGCCUUCGGGUUGUAAAGCUCUUUUAGUCGGAAAGAAAGAGUUGCAAUGAAUAAUUGUGAUUUAUGACGGUACCGACAGAAAAAGCACCGGCUAACUACGUGCCAGCGGCCGCGGUAAUACGUAGGGUGCGAGCGUUAAUCGGAAUUACUGGGCGUAAAGGGAGCGCAGGCGGUCUUGCAAGUCAGAUGUGAAAGCCCCGGGCUUAACCUGGGAAUUGCGUUUGAAACUACAAGAUUAGAGUGCAGCAGAGGGGAGUGGAAUUCCAUGUGUAGCAGUGAAAUGCGUAGAGAUGUGGAAGAACACCGAUGGCGAAGGCAGCUCCCUGGGUUGACACUGACGCUCAUGCACGAAAGCGUGG
rnacentral:rRNA from 1 species